GCUCAAAUUUGAAAUCUUCAAGGGUUUCCCUUUACGAAUUGUAGUUUAAAGAAGUGUUUUCUGUUGAGGUUUUGGUAAAAGUUCUUUGGAAUAGGACAUCAUAGAGGGUGAGAAUCCCGUAUUUGACCUUUACUUUCAACUUUGUGAUACACUUUCAAAGAGUCGGAUUGUUUGGGAAUGCAGUCCAAAAUGGGUGGUAAAUUUCAUCUAAAGCUAAAUAUUGGCGAGAGACCGAUAGCGAACAAGUACCGUGAGGGAAAGAUGAAAAGAACUUUGAAAAGAGAGUUAAACAGUACGUGAAAUUGUCAAAAGGGAAGCGUUUGUCACCAGUGUUGUUUUUCUGAAAAUCAAUUAAAGAACUGUUUAUGCUAAGCUGUUUAGACUUUAUCAGCUAUCUGUUUAGUUUUGAGCUUUUCUUUAAUGCACUUUUCAGUUAACAAG
rnacentral:rRNA from 1 species